AUUCCAGCUCCAAUAGCGUAUAUUAAAGUUGUUGCAGUUAAAACGCUCGUAGUCGGAUUUCGGGGCCUGCCUGCCGGUCUGCCGAUGGGUAUGCACUGGCAGGCGCGUCCUUCCUUCCGGAGACUGUCCCUACUCUUAACUGAGCGGGGUCGGGAGACGGAUCGUUUACUUUGAAAAAAUCAGAGUGUUUCAAGCAGGCAGCUCGCUCUUGCAUGGAUUAGCAUGGGAUAAUGAAAUAGGACUUUGGUGCUAUUUUGUUGGUUUCGAACACCGAAGUAAUGAUUAACAGGGACAGUCAGGGGCACUCGUAUUCCGCCGAGAGAGGUGAAAUUCUCAGACCAGCGGAAGACGAACUACUGCGAAAGCAUUUGCCAGGGAUGUUUUCAUCA
rnacentral:rRNA from 1 species